CCAUAGCCCAUGGUAGCAGCAUUUUUUUUUAUUGCGGUUUUACAAUGUUGAAGAGAUUGCUUCACUUCGUUCGCAAUGACAAAAAAGAUAUAGCGGACAGCACGUUCC
rnacentral:sRNA from 1 species